rnacentral:rRNA from 1 species
UGGGGAAUAUUGCACAAUGGGCGCAAGCCUGAUGCAGCCAAGCCGCGUGUAUGAAGAAGGCCUUCGGGUUGUAAAGUACUUUCAGCGGGGAGGAAGGCGAUAAGGUUAAUAACCUUGUCGAUUGACGUUACCCGCAGAAGAAGCACCGGCUAACUCCGUGCCAGCAGCCGCGGUAAUACGGAGGGUGCAAGCGUUAAUCGGAAUUACUGGGCGUAAAGCGCACGCAGGCGGUCUGUCAAGUCGGAUGUGAAAUCCCCGGGCUCAACCUGGGAACUGCAUUCGAAACUGGCAGGCUAGAGUCUUGUAGAGGGGGGUAGAAUUCCAGGUGUAGCGGUGAAAUGCGUAGAGAUCUGGAGGAAUACCGGUGGCGAAGGCGGCCCCCUGGACAAAGACUGACGCUCAGGUGCGAAAGCGUGGGGAGCAAACA